rnacentral:rRNA from 1 species
ACGCGAAGAACCUUACCUGGGCUUGACAUGUUAGUGGUAGGAAACUGAAAGGGGACCGACCUGUAGCAAUACAGGAGCUAAUACAGGUGCUGCAUGGCUGUCGUCAGCUCGUGCCGUGAGGUGUUGGGUUAAGUCCCGCAACGAGCGCAACCCUUAUCCUAUGUUACCUCGCAAGAGGGUCUCUUAGGAAACUGCCGGCGAUGAGCUGGAGGAAGGUGGGGACGACGUCAAGUCAUCAUGGCCCUUAUGUCCAGGGCUACACACGUGCUACAAUGGCUACUACAGAGGGAUGCAAGACCGCGAGGUGGAGCCAAUCCCUAAAAGUAGUCGUAGUUGGGAUCGGAGUCUGCAACUCGACUCCGUGAACCUGGAAUCGCUAGUAAUCGCGGAUCAGAACGCCGCGGUGAAUACGUUCCCGGGCCUUGUACACACCGCCCGUCACACCACGAAAGCCUGUUGUACCCGAAGCUGGUGAGCUAACCCGCAAGGGAUGCAGCCAUCUAAGGUAUGGCCGGUAAUUGGGGUGAAGUCGUAACAAGGUAGCCGUAGGGGAACCUGCGGCUGGAUCACCUCCUUU